CCGAGUUUACAACUCCCAAACUCCUGUGAACAUACCUAUACGUUGCCUCGGCGGAUCAGCCCGCGCCCCGUAAAAAGGGACGGCCCGCCGCAGGAACCCUAAACUCUGUUUUUAGUGGAACUUCUGAGUAUAAACAAACAAAUAAAUCA
rnacentral:misc_RNA from 1 species